rnacentral:rRNA from 1 species
UAGUUCGGAUUGUAGGCUGCAACUCGCCUACAUGAAGCUGGAAUUGCUAGUAAUCACAGGUCAGCAUACUGUGGUGAAUACGUUCCCGGGCCUUGUACACACCGCCCGUCACACCAUGAGAGUUGAGAAUACCCGAAGUCCAUGUCAAAGUGGCCGAAGGUAGGCUUGACGAUUGGGGUGAAGUCGUAACAAGGUACC